AUGGAUGAUGAUCCGAUUCAAUCAUCGUCUCGCCGAGCAAUUCUUGGCGCGCGCGAGGGAAUAUGUUUGCAUUUUGAUUCUCUGGUCCGGAUUGCGGUGGUGGUGGUGAUCCGGGCUAGAGCAUCCAGUCGAGCCGGUUGGUGGGCGGCGGGGGCGCGCCGGCGGAGGACGCGGUGGAGCUGUCGGUGGUGGUGGUGGAGGAGGAGGACGAAGUGGUUGGUAGCGACGACAGCAGGUCGAACAUCUCCCACCGCGUCGUCUGCGCCGGGGCCUGCGCCUGCGGAGGAGCUGUCGGGUGUCGUUGCCGCUGCGACUGCGGCGGCUGCUGCUGCCUCGCCGGCGCUGGCUGUGGCGGCUGCUUCUUCGCGGCGGCGGGCUUGCUCGCGAUGGUGGCGUUCUUGGCCAUGA
rnacentral:rRNA from 1 species